rnacentral:rRNA from 1 species
UACGGAAGGCAGCAGUGGGGAAUAUUGCACAAUGGGCGAAAGCCUGAUGCAGCUAUGCCGCGUGUAUGAAGAAGGCCUUAGGGUUGUAAAGUACUUUCAUCGGGGAGGAAAAAACAAAACUAAUAAUUUUAUUUCUUGACGUUACCCGAAAAAGAAGCACCGGCUAACUCCGUGCCAGCAGCCGCGGUAAUACGGAGGGUGCUAGCGUUAAUCAGAAUUACUGGGCGUAAAGAGCACGUAGGUGGUUUUUUUAAGUCAGAUGUGAAAUCCCUGGGCUUAACCUAGGAACUGCAUUUUGAAACUGAAAUACUAGAGUAUCGUAGAGGGAGGUAGAAUUCUAGGUGUAGCGGUGAAAUGCGUAGAUAUCUGGAGGAAUACCUGUGGCGAAAGCGGCCUCCUAAACGAAUACUGACACUGAGGUGCGAAAGCGUGGGGAGCAAACAGGGAUUAGACUACCCGU